rnacentral:rRNA from 1 species
UUAGGAAUUUUGCGCAAUGGGCGAAAGCCUGACGCAGCAACGCCGCGUGAGGGAGGAAGGCCUUCGGGUUGUAAACCUCUUUCGAUGGGAACGAAACAAAUGACGGUACCCAUAGAAGAAGCACCGGCUAACUACGUGCCAGCAGCCGCGGUAAUACGUAGGGUGCAAGCGUUAUUCGGAUUUACUGGGCGUAAAGCGCAUGUAGGUGGUUUCGUAAGUCUGAUGUGAAAUCCCUGGACUCAAUCCAGGAACUGCAUCGGAUACUGCGUUACUUGAGUACUGGAGGGGAGAACGGAAUUCCUGGUGUAGAGGUGAAAUUCGUAGAUAUCAGGAGGAACAACGGUGGCGAAAGCGGUUCUCUGGACAGUAACUGACACUGAGAUGCGACAGCGUGGGGAGC